rnacentral:lncRNA from 1 species
CAGCCAGUUCGAUCCCCCCGACAUUGUGGUGACCACCACCAACGGCCACGUUGCCAUCUGGGCUGAGAAGGUGGCAGAGGACGGCACAGUGUGCGACACUUUCACCCACCAGUGCCGGCUGCCCGAGGACACGGACCCACUGUCAGUGAGCUGUGCCCUGACCGAUGCUGGCACGCUGGUCAUCACCGCCCGGCGCCGCGCUGGUGCCCGUCCCGGUGAGAUGCCACAGCCGCUGUACCGCAGUGAGGCAACGCUGGGUGCGGGGACAGCACGGGGACAGUAAUGGUGACCGUGCCCUGGGGCUCGGUGCCCCCUGCCCACCUCCGUGCCCUGGCAAGGUGGCUGUUUAUAAAGUCCUUUAAUUAAAUUAAU